rnacentral:rRNA from 1 species
UACAGAGGGGGCAAGCGUUGUUCGGAAUUACUGGGCGUAAAGGGCGCGUAGGCGGCCUUCUAAGUCGAACGUGAAAUCCCCGGGCUCAACCCGGGAACUGCGUCCGAUACUGGAAGGCUUGAAUCCGGGAGAGGGAUGCGGAAUUCCAGGUGUAGCGGUGAAAUGCGUAGAUAUCUGGAGGAACGCCGGUGGCGAAAGCGAUCCGCUGGACCUCUUCUGACGCUGAGGCGCGAAAGCCAGGGGAGCAAACGGG